rnacentral:rRNA from 1 species
GUGGGGUUACGUGGUAAGGGGUCUUCUAGGCCCGACCUCCCACCCUUUGUUUAUUCAACCAUUCGUUGCUUCGGCGAGCCCGUCCUCACGGACCGCCGGGGGACCGUCGUAUCUACGACGGUCCUCUGGCCCGCGCUCGUCGGUGGCCAACCUUUAAAUUCUUUUAACUAAAUGUGUCUUACUGAGUACUAUAUUUAAUUAAAAAGCAAAACUUUCAACAACGGAUCUCUUGGUUCUGGCAUCGAUGAAGAACGCAGCGAAAUGCGAUAAGUAAUGCGAAUUGCAGAAUUCCAGUGAGUCAUCGAAUCUUUGAACGCACAUUGCGCCCUUUGGUAUUCCGAAGGGCAUGCCUGUUCGAGCGUCAUUAUCACCCCUCAAGCCUCCCCGGCUUGGUGUUGGACGGUUUGGUGGGAGGCCCUCCCUCUCACCCCUCCCAAAGACAAUGACGGCGGCCUCGUUGGACCCCCGGUACACUGAGUUCUUCACGGGACACGUACUGGAAACAAGGGCUCACGGGGCACGGUCUGCCUCCCCUCAGGGAGAACUUUUCUCAAGGUUGACCUCGGAUCAGGUAGGGAUACCCGCUGAACUUAAGCAUAUCAAUAAGCGGAGGA